CUAGUCAAUGUGGGACUUGGGUUUUUUUCUCAAUACACCCCCUCACGCCCAACACUUUUUGGGCUUGGUGUGUGGCCCUUUCAAUAGAUCUAGGAUAGGCUCUGAUGCUAAGUAGAAAACUGGAGCCUAAUUCAACUCUAAAAGCUAGUUUACAGGGUGAGGAUUGCCCUCACCUUAUAUACUCUAUCUUGACACUAUCUCUAGUCAAUGUGGGACUUGGGUUUUUUUUCUCAAUAUGUUGUUCCUACUGUUGCCAUUCGGCCUCCAUUCAUGCCUUGUCGCCAGUCCCCACCACCGUUGUCGCGUUCGCCUUUGUCGUAAGUCCCUUUUUUCCACUCUUCAUUGAAAAUGGGAUUGCGUAGCCAUAUAAGUAUUAACAAUCCGUAUAAUGCAUACAGAUUAGAAAUUCUUAUGGAUUAUAAGGUUUAACAAUCCAUAUAAUCCAUACAGAUUACCACUGUUGCAUUCUACUAAUAUAUGGUGUAAGUCAUUACUUUGCUAAUGAAGAUUAUCAUGAGAGGAAACUACGUGUAUGCCGUUGGAAGUCUGGGAAGGCAUUAACAAUGUCGACGUAUCAUAAGCGGUUGGAUAGAUUGACAUAUGAUGUUGUGUGCUAGAUUCCUUAUGGUGACCACCGUGCAUUUAGAGAAUUUGAGUUGAUCUCAUUAUUUUGUGGACAAAUCAGAUGGGUUCAUCUAUUGUCAUACACCAACUAGAGAGGAUUAUGCGACAAUUUGGUUAUGUGCAGACCAUUCCUCCAACCUCUGCUGCCCCAUUUUUAUCUAUAAAGGAGAUUGACGAUAGAUGGAUGCACUUUUUUGAAUACCUUGCAUUGGUGGGUCAAAUUUGUGUUGCUCCAGGAUAGUGUGCAGCAGACUACAUGGAGUGAUUUUACAUGAUAUCUCAUUCCUUCAUGAGUCUGACACAGCCUAGGGAUCCUCAUAGACAUCCACAUAUGGUUCACGAUGAUACAUUUAUUGAACCACAUCCUCCUCAGCAGCCGGUCGCCACAACAGCUAUGCCAGAACCACUUGUAGCUAAACUUGCUGAUGUAGACAUGCCUCGACAUGCAUUGGAGGCUUGUCAUGCAAUAACAGAAAGGUUGGAACGGUUGAUCAACAUAAGGAUAGUCACUGAAGGAACUGAAGUAUACAUUGUGAUCGAGGAGUGCCUAAGGAUCGCCAGGGGUGUGACUGCGUAAGGGAAUGUAUAUGUUUGAUCAAGAUGAAGGCGGCGUACACCAGACACAUGAAGAUUGUUAGGAUUUUUAGGUUUCAUAGGAUUUAUGUAUGCAAUAUGACUGAACAAUGUUUGUUAUUUAGUGUUAUUUGAUAAGCUUUUUAUUUAUUUUCGUUUA